CCCUUAGAUGUUCUGGGCCGCACGCGCGCUACACUGAUGCAUUCAACGAGUCUAAAACCUGCUCUGAUAGGGGUGGGUAAUCUUUUGAAUGUGCAUCGUGAUUGGGAUAGGUGAUUGCAAUUUUUCAUCUUCAACGAGGAAUGCCUAGUAAACGCAAGUCAUCAGCUUGCAUUGAUUACGUCCCUGCCCUUUGUACACACCGCCCGUCGCUCCUACCGAUUGAAUGAUCCGAUGAAUAUCAUGGAUUGAGGAUGCAAGUAGGUUCGCCUAUCUUCAUCUUCGAGAAGUGAAGUAAAUCUUAUCAUUUAGAGGAAGGAGAAGUCGUAACA
rnacentral:rRNA from 1 species